AUCCCAUGAUGAGGACAGGCGGCCACAUACUCCUGGAGUCGUUCCCAAGCUUUGGGGAUCGACUCAUCCAUCGUUAGCCUGCGCCAUAGUAAUAAGGCU
rnacentral:snoRNA from 1 species